rnacentral:rRNA from 1 species
GCCUUUUGAUAAUUUCUUAUAAAAGGUCGUACCUGCCCAGUGAAAUGUUUAAACGGCCGCUUUUUAGCGUUAAAGUAGCAUAGUAACAGCCUCUUAAUUAGGGGAUAGAAUGAAUGGUUUGUCAUAGAUUAACUGUCUCUAAUAUAGUGAUAAAAAUUUUUAUUUAAGUGAAAAAACUUAAAUUUUUGUAAAAGACGAGAAGACCCUUUCGAGCUUAAUUAAUAUGAUAUGUAACAGAUAAAUAAAGUUAAUCUUUAUUAUUAGUUCAUGUUUCAUUUAAAGUUUUACUGGGGCAGUAUAGGGUAAAUAAAAAUCCCUUAUUUUUAAAAUAAAGACCCCGUUGGAUGGCCAAAAGCAAAAGUUACCGUAGGGAUAACAGCGCAAACCUUUCUUGGAGAUCGUAUUUUAGAAAGAAGUUGUGACCUCGAUGUUGAAUUAGAAGCACUUUAUGGUUGUAACAGCUAUAGAAAGUAAAACUGUUCGUUUUUUAAUUUUCC